CCUACGGGAGGCUGCAGUGAGGAAUAUUUGUCAAUGGACGCAAGUCUGAACCAGCCAUGCCGCGUGCAGGAAGACGGCUCUUUGAGUUGUAAACUGCUUUUGUACGAGGGCAAACUCAGAUACUCGUAUCUGUCUGAAAGUAUCGUACGAAUAAGGUUCGGCCAACCCCGUGCCAGCAGCCGCGGUAAUCCGGAGGAGUCAAGCGUUAUCCGGAUUUAUUGGGUUUAAAGGGUGCGUAGGCGGUCGGAUAAGUUAGGGGUGAAAGCCCGGGGCUCAAAGUGGGAAUUGCCUCUGAUACUGUUCGGCUAGAGUGUAGUUGCGGUAGGCGGAAUGUAUGGUGUAGCGGUGAAAUGCUUAGAGAUCAUACAGAACACCGAUUGCGAAGGCAGCUUACCAAGCUACUACUGACGUUGAGGCACGAAGGCGUGGGGAGCAAACAGGAUUAGAUACCCCAGUAGUC
rnacentral:rRNA from 1 species